rnacentral:rRNA from 1 species
GUGAACGCUGGCGGUAGGCCUAACACAUGCAAGUCGAACGGCAGCACAGUAAGAGCUUGCUCUUACGGGUGGCGAGUGGCGGACGGGUGAGGAAUACAUCGGAAUCUACUUUUUCGUGGGGGAUAACGUAGGGAAACUUACGCUAAUACCGCAUACGACCUACGGGUGAAAGCAGGGGAUCUUCGGACCUUGCGCGAUUCAAUGAGCCGAUGUCGGAUUAGCUAGUUGGCGGGGUAAAGGCCCACCAAGGCGACGAUCCGUAGCUGGUCUGAGAGGAUGAUCAGCCACACUGGAACUGAGACACGGUCCAGACUCCUACGGGAGGCAGCAGUGGGGAAUAUUGGACAAUGGGCGCAAGCCUGAUCCAGCCAUACCGCGUGGGUGAAGAAGGCCUUCGGGUUGUAAAGCCCUUUUGUUGGGAAAGAAAAGCAGCAGGUUAAUACCCCGCUGUUCUGACGGUACCCAAAGAAUAAGCACCGGCUAACUUCGUG